rnacentral:rRNA from 1 species
GCCCGAAGCCGACUAUCUAACCUUUUGGAAGAAGUCGUCGAAGGUGGAAUCAAUAACUGGGGUGAAGUCGUAACAAGGUAGCCGUAUCGGAAGGUGCGGCUGGAUCACCUCCUUU